rnacentral:rRNA from 1 species
GACGAACGCUGGCGGCGUGCUUAACACAUGCAAGUCGAACGGAAAGGCCCUGCUUUUGUGGGGUGCUCGAGUGGCGAACGGGUGAGUAACACGUGAGUAACCUGCCCUUGACUUUGGGAUAACUUCAGGAAACUGGGGCUAAUACCGGAUAGGAGCUCCUGCUGCGUGGUGGGGGUUGGAAAGUUUCGGCGGUUGGGGAUGGACUCGCGGCUUAUCAGCUUGUUGGUGGGGUAGUGGCUUACCAAGGCUUUGACGGGUAGCCGGCCUGAGAGGGUGACCGGCCACAUUGGGACUGAGAUACGGCCCAGACUCCUACGGGAGGCAGCAGUGGGGAAUAUUGCACAAUGGGCGGAAGCCUGAUGCAGCAACGCCGCGUGCGGGAUGACGGCCUUCGGGUUGUAAACCGCUUUCGCCUGUGACGAAGCGUGAGUGACGGUAAUGGGUAAAGAAGCACCGGCUAACUACGUGCCAGCAGCCGCGGUGAUACGUAGGGUGCGAGCGUUGUCCGGAUUUAUUGGGCGUAAAGGGCUCGUAGGUGGUUGAUCGCGUCGGAAGUGUAAUCUUGGGGCUUAACCCUGAGCGUGCUUUCGAUACGGGUUGACUUGAGGAAGGUAGGGGAGAAUGGAAUUCCUGGUGGAGCGGUGGAAUGCGCAGAUAUCAGGAGGAACACCAGUGGCGAAGGCGGUUCUCUGGGCCUUUCCUGACGCUGAGGAGCGAAAGCGUGGGGAGCGAACAGGCUUAGAUACCCUGGUAGUCCACGCUGUAAACGGUGGGUACUAGGUGUGGGGUCCAUUCCACGGGUUCCGUGCCGUAGCUAACGCUUUAAGUACCCCGCCUGGGGAGUACGGCCGCAAGGCUAAAACUCAAAGGAAUUGACGGGGCCCCGCACAAGCGGCGGAGCAUGCGGAUUAAUUCGAUGCAACGCGUAGAACCUUACCUGGGUUUGACAUGGAUCGGGAGUGCUCAGAGAUGGGUGUGCCUCUUUUGGGGUCGGUUCACAGGUGGUGCAUGGCUGUCGUCAGCUCGCGUCGUGAGAUGUUGGGUUAAGUCCCGCAACGAGCGCAACCCUUGUUCACUGUUGCCAGCACGUUAUGGUGGGGACUCAGUGGAGACCGCCGGGGUCAACUCGGAGGAAGGUGGGGAUGACGUCAAGUCAUCAUGCCCCUUAUGUCCAGGGCUUCACGCAUGCUACAAUGGCUGGUACAGAGAGUGGCGAGCCUGUGAGGGUGAGCGAAUCUCGGAAAGCCGGUCUCAGUUCGGAUUGGGGUCUGCAACUCGACCUCAUGAAGUCGGAGUCGCUAGUAAUCGCAGAUCAGCAACGCUGCGGUGAAUACGUUCCCGGGGCU